rnacentral:snoRNA from 1 species
GUGCCAUUUUAAGGUUGAUAUAGUGCUUUAAUAAGCUAACACAGAAGGGUAAAGUAAGUCUCCAUAAAAUCCAGAGAAAAGACUGUAAAACUCCUCUUUGGAUCCUGUCUGGAGUCAUAGCU